rnacentral:rRNA from 1 species
GUCGAGCGAUGGAUUGAGAGCUUGCUCUCAUGAAGUUAGCGGCGGACGGGUGAGUAACACGUGGGUAACCUGCCCAUAAGACUGGGAUAACUCCGGGAAACCGGGGCUAAUACCGGAUAACAUUUUGAACUGCAUGGUUCGAAAUUGAAAGGCGGCUUCGGCUGUCACUUAUGGAUGGACCCGCGUCGCAUUAGCUAGUUGGUGAGGUAACGGCUCACCAAGGCAACGAUGCGUAGCCGACCUGAGAGGGUGAUCGGCCACACUGGGACUGAGACACGGCCCAGACUCCUACGGGAGGCAGCAGUAGGGAAUCUUCCGCAAUGGACGAAAGUCUGACGGAGCAACGCCGCGUGAGUGAUGAAGGCUUUCGGGUCGUAAAACUCUGUUGUUAGGGAAGAACAAGUGCUAGUUGAAUAAGCUGGCACCUUGACGGUACCUAACCAGAAAGCCACGGCUAACUACGUGCCAGCAGCCGCGGUAAUACGUAGGUGGCAAGCGUUAUCCGGAAUUAUUGGGCGUAAAGCGCGCGCAGGUGGUUUCUUAAGUCUGAUGUGAAAGCCCACGGCUCAACCGUGGAGGGUCAUUGGAAACUGGGAGACUUGAGUGCAGAAGAGGAAAGUGGAAUUCCAUGUGUAGCGGUGAAAUGCGUAGAGAU